AAAUAAUUAAUCACUUUUUAUUCAAAUGCUCUAGAAGGAUUGUUAUCUCUUCCUUCUCAGUGGAUCUCACAACCUGAUCUUUCCUUCUAAUACAGUGUUUGGGAACAGAUCUCAGAACAAGUAAGAAUGGACAGAGGAAUACCAUGUGCUGACUGACGAACGCCUGGGUUUCUGAACCAAUUGCCAUCAAGGGGAUUGGGAUUACCAUAAUUUUUGCUGAGACUAAGCCCCACCCCAGUAACCAAAGGUGAGUUCAGUUUCUCUGGUCACUAUGGACUGUGUGAGGUAAGAUGGGCAGCUAUCAAAAUAGUCAGUCUAUCAAUAAAGAGCAGGCAAAUACGAAGCUAAUUGCAGGCUUAUGGGUGGAAUGCAAGCUAUUGGAAGUAUUUGAAGAUGUGACCAAGGAAGCUAUGAGAAUUGGAAAUGAGGCAGUUGUUUAGAAACGGGCUGAUGUGCUUGUGGUAAGGUGGAAGGAGGAAGGCAGAUGAGGAAAGGAAUGUGCAACUGAAGCAAUUAGCUGUUACUAUGUAACGAACCAUCCCAAAACGUAGUGACAUAAAACAACAACCAUUUGUUAUUUCUCAUGCGCUUACAUUUCUACUAGGAAGUUCUGCAAAUCUGGAUUGGUCUUGGCUGAUCUUGGCAGGGCUUG
rnacentral:lncRNA from 10 species